rfam:Salmo salar isolate Sally breed double haploid chromosome ssa27, whole genome shotgun sequence.
CCCUGUAGCUCAGUUGGUAGAGCAUGGUGUUUGCAACACCAGGGUUGUGGGUUCGAUUCCCACAGGGG